GGCGAGGUAGCUCAGAUGGUUAGAGCGCAGGAUUCAUAACCCUGAGGUCAGGGGUUCGACUCCCCUUUUCGCUA
rnacentral:tRNA from 1 species